CAGCCCAGAGCCUGAAUCAGUAUGUGUGUUAGUGGAAGCGUCUGGAAAGGCGCGCGAUACAGGGUGACAGCCCCGUACACAAAAAUGCACAUAUUGUGAGCUCGAUGAGUAGGGCGGGACACGUGGUAUCCUGUCUGAAUAUGGGGGGACCAUCCUCCAAGGCUAAAUACUCCUGACUGACCGAUAGUGAACCAGUACCGUGAGGGAAAGGCGAAAAGAACCCCGGCGAGGGGAGUGAAAAAGAACCUGAAACCGUGUACGUACAAGCAGUGGGAGCACGCUUAGGCGUGUGACUGCGUACCUUUUGUAUAAUGGGUCAGCGACUUAUAUUCUGUAGCAAGGUUAACCGAAUAGGGGAGCCGAAGGGAAACCGAGUCUUAACUGGGCGUUAAGUUGCAGGGUAUAGACCCGAAACCCGGUGAUCUAGCCAUGGGCAGGUUGAAGGUUGGGUAACACUAACUGGAGGACCGAACCGACUAAUGUUGAAAAAUUAGCGGAUGACUUGUGGCUGGGGGUGAAAGGCCAAUCAAACCGGGAGAUAGCUGGUUCUCCCCGAAAGCUAUUUAGGUAGCGCCUCGUGAAUUCAUCUCCGGGGGUAGAGCACUGUUUCGGCAAGGGGGUCAUCCCGACUUACCAACCCGAUGCAAACUGCGAAUACCGGAGAAUGUUAUCACGGGAGACACACGGCGGGUGCUAACGUCCGUCGUGAAGAGGGAAACAACCCAGACCGCCAGCUAAGGUCCCAAAGUCAUGGUUAAGUGGGAAACGAUGUGGGAAGGCCCAGACAGCCAGGAUGUUGGCUUAGAAGCAGCCAUCAUUUAAAGAAAGCGUAAUAGCUCACUGGUCGAGUCGGCCUGCGCGGAAGAUGUAACGGGGCUAAACCAUG
rnacentral:rRNA from 1 species